rnacentral:rRNA from 1 species
GACGAACGCUGGCGGCGUGCUUAACACAUGCAAGUCGAACGGUGAUGCUCCAGCUUGCUGGAGUGGAUCAGUGGCGAACGGGUGAGUAACACGUGAGCAACCUGCCCCAGACUCUGGAAUAAGCGCUGGAAACGGCGUCUAAUACUGGAUACGAAACUGGCCCGCAUGGGCAUGGUUUGGAAAGUUUUUCGGUUUGGGAUGGGCUCGCGGCCUAUCAGCUUGUUGGUGAGGUAAUGGCUCACCAAGGCGACGACGGGUAGCCGGCCUGAGAGGGCGACCGGCCACACUGGGACUGAGACACGGCCCAGACUCCUACGGGAGGCAGCAGUGGGGAAUAUUGCACAAUGGGCGAAAGCCGGAUGCAGCGACGCCGCGUGAGGGAUGACGGCCUUCGGGUUGUAAACCUCUUUCAGCAGGGAAGAAGCGAAAGUGACGGUACCUGCAGAAGAAGCACCGGCUAACUACGU